UCCAUGCCAGGGAAUCCCAGGCCAGAACGUUCUGUUACAAACCUUAAGUGCCAGGCGGGGACAGAGUCCAACCCAGCGACGCUAAGUGAUUCUGCUGAGUCAGGCUUCCUCUCGCAGGUUGUCACUCAGGCACGAGGGGGCGGGGUAUUGGAAAUCUGUCCAAGCGGGAGGCCGCUGAGGCAGGUGGGUGGGGCGAUGCUCUGCACCGGCGUGGACGUCCUUUCUUUCUCCAAUUGCGUCUAGAGCCGCUGGCUGUGUGCGGUUCACUGCCCCUGGAGACCCGUCCGUGUCACGGAUCUGCAUGGGUCUUUAGAGUCGUUAGGAAGGACUCAGACUCAAGAAACCUCGAAAUGUUUGAAUAUGAUAUACUUUGAUCUCCAUUUCUGUGUUUUCAUGUUUUCCGUUCACUGAGCUUCAUGAACCUACAGGACUCGGUGACCAUAGAUGAUUUGGCUGUGGACUUCACACUGGAGGAGUGGGCUUUAUUGGGUCCUUCACAGAGGAAACUCUACAGAGAUGUGAUGCAGGAAACCUUAAGGAAUCUGGCUGCAGUCGGAGCAAAACGGGAAUAUCAUGACAUUGAAGAUCAGUACAAAAACCAGGAGAGAAACAGAAUCAU